rnacentral:tRNA from 1 species
CAUUAGCUCAGCGGUUAGAGCAGAGGACUCAUAAUCCUUUGGUCGUAGGUUCAAAUCCGACAUGGC